rnacentral:rRNA from 1 species
UACAGAGGGGGCAAGCGUUGUUCGGAAUUACUGGGCGUAAAGGGCGCGUAGGCGGCCCGCUAAGUCGAACGUGAAAUCCCCGAGCUCAACUCGGGAACUGCGUCCGAUACUGGAAGGCUUGAAUCCGGGAGAGGGAUGCGGAAUUCCAGGUGUAGCGGUGAAAUGCGUAGAUAUCUGGAGGAACACCGGUGGCGAAGGCGGCAUCCUGGACCGGCAUUGACGCUGAGGCGCGAAAGCCAGGGGAGCAAACGGGGAUUAAGAAACCC